GUGCUUGCUUUGGCAGCACAUGCACUGAAAAUUGGAAUGAUGCAGAGAAGAUUAGCAUGGCCCCUUUUUAAGGAUGACACUCGCUUUUUGAAGCAUCCCAUCAUUCU
ensembl:snRNA U6 U6 spliceosomal RNA